GGGGCGUGCACCCUGAGCCUCAGUUUACCAACUGUAGAACAAGAUGUCUGACUGCAAUGGUCAAAUGGUUACUAGACAUGAUCAAUCAAUCUCAGAGAUUCCGCUUGACACGAUGGCCACCGUCCUGGCUGCCGCCACCCCAUUGCUCGCCCAUGAGUUAACCCUGGCUCACUCUGCACAAGUCAUUAGGUUGGAGUCGGCUGAGCAUUUCCAUGCUAGCCAGUGAACCCCAGAUGAACCCCAGGCUCCUCGUACUGACGUGGGGCAGGUGAACAGCUCUGGGGAAAGUCCAGUUCCUUGGCACCUGCUAACCUUGGCAGCCAGUGACCCGCUAGCAAUAAUAGGCUUCCAAUGCUUCUCCUGGAUCUUAUGUCUCAGGUGCUCCCAGGACCCUCCCGUGGUCCCUAGCACGCCAAGGUUUAGCCAGCCCACCGCAGGGGCUUUUGAAAAGAUGGUGCUGUUUGUAUUCAUUUCACCUGAGAGCUCUGGCCUUGUCACGGCACCCCACAAUGCCAAGGUGCUCCGUGACCCCGCUCAGUCAUCACCGGGCAGCCCCCUCAGCUCUGGCUGGCUUCCCUCAGAGGGGGCCCAUUCGCCUGUGACAGCGGGACAAAGAGCCCAGUGUCUCCCAGAGCCACUGUGUUUGCUGGAGGAAAAGCCAGCCUGCCGAUGGACUGUCCUAUCCGGGCAUUUCGUCACUCUCCGUUCUUCUGGUUUCUGUCUGGGAAAUUCACCCUACGAUGAACUUUUGACAGGAAGAAAUCUGCUUUAAACAGGGGAAAGCCCCCACAGUGAUGGACAAGUAGACCAGGUGGCUAUUCUUAAGAUGUCUGUCAUCCCAGCUACUCAGGAGGCUGAGACCAGAGGAUUGAGGUUUGAAGCCAGCCAGGGCAGAAAAGAUUGUGAGAUGCUUAUUUCCAAUGAACCUGCGAAAAGCCGGACAUACAGGCAUGACACAAAGGAUAGAGGGCCAGCCAUGAGCAAAGAAGCCAAGCAAGAUCACAAGACCCCGAGUUCAAACCCCAGUGUCAGCACACACUCAAAGAAGAAAAAAAGGUAACAGGCCACUCUGUUGGCUGUAGCCACCACAUUGCCUGCCCAUGAAUUAACCCUUACAUUCCCACGCCUUUGAGAGCAUUGAUUGGGCGCCCAUUGUCAUCCAUGGCGCCCUGGCGUAAGGGUUAUGAAGAUCUCUCUUCCCUGCCUUUGAAGCGUUUGAAAUCUAGGGACCAAAAAGCUUCGCUAGUGAGUUGUGAGAUGCUCCCUGGGCCAUGUGCCAAUGAAGCAGCCCACCCCCUCCCUCAUGGGAGUGAUGGAGGAGGCCUUCUUGGAGUGGUACCUGGGUCCUGUCGCACAGGGGCAGGUGCUCAGGGGGCCAUGCCAACCUCGCCCUGACAUCUGUCUCAGGCUUGGCGGCCCCAGCUUUGCCCCCAGCCUCAGUUUCCCUUCAUUCUCGGUCCUGGUGGGUUUGCAGGGCAAUGCCAUGCAUCAGGGUUUCGAUUAGCUGGCCCCUGCCCUGAAAACAGGUUGGUUGAGGAAGGCUGGCAGCCCCACACGCUGCACACACUCCAGAUCCGGUCUCCUGGGCUGCAGGAAGCCCUUUCUUGCUCAACCCAAACAAAUCUCCCCUUCCCUCCAGGUACAUGCUGCCUUUGAAGUCCUCUGAAAAGGAUUCAAGGUGUAGCUUUACUUUGGCACAAUGCCUUAAUUCAUGUUAAGACUUUUUUUCCCCUUCCACCAUGAUACCCCCUUCCUGCAUAUAACUUGAUUAAAGUCAUGUGUGACAAGGAA